GGAGCUGUAGCUUAGUGGCAGAGCACUUGCCUGGCACGUAUGAAGCACUGGGUUCGAUCCUUAGUACCA
rnacentral:tRNA from 1 species